GUUGCAAAGGCAUGGUGCUGUCAUGGAAAGUGCGUUUGCUAUUAAAAUUGCUACAUGUGAGUUUGACACAUGGCAGUGUUCACGGCAAUUCACAGUUCCGGCACAGGGUUACAUUAAGGAAAGAAAGGAAAAACUAAAUUAUUCAGCAAUAUGAGUAAUUUUGAUGAGAAGUGGAAUGAUGUGGUACGUUGGCAUGAUUUUCUGUAUGAUAAAGACAAGAUGCCUUGGAUGCUGCCUUGAUUACCGGAAAAUAACCAAUGCAGUUACGGCUAUUGAACAGGAACACAUGUAUCGUUGGGCAGUCCAUAUGUAAUUGGUUCGGAAUUGCGGUAUUCAGUGAGGCUACUCAAAUGAAACAGCGAGCGCACCAGCGACGUUCACGUUUAUGCUUUAUUUGUAUUAUUUAGAAAUACAAUAUGCAAGUAGAUUAAAACGUAAAACACAACAAAUCUUCUUCAGUAGACAUUUCAUAAUAAUAAAGACAUUCCGUGAAUAGCUCUUUUUACUUUA